CUCCAGCCUGAAAGAAAGGAUUUGUUAGCUUUUGAGACAAAUUUUUGUAGUUUGAAAGUUUAAGAAAUGCUUUGCAAAGAAGCAUCCAAGAUUUUAUAACUGAUUUCAUCUUCUUUACUUACUAUAACAACAGUCAGGAAAAAACAAAUGCAAGACUCGCCAAGCAGGAUCAUCAGAACUCGGUCCUCUGCCUUCAGUGAAUCUUAAGCCCCAGCAGCACAGCUUCGUUACUGCCACCGAGCAGAGGGAAGUCUCUUGGGAAAGCCCCCUUUCAUCACGUCCCGUACGUUUUGUUGACCACACUGGAUCAUCGUCUAUCGCUUGCUGAAGACAAGGGCAGGUAUUCUCACCUCUGGUUCUGACCCUGGCGCUGGGGGGCGCCUGCUCUGGCUCC
rnacentral:lncRNA from 1 species